CCAAAAAUCAGCUGUUUCGUUUGGAAACCUCAGUCAGAUUUUAACACCCAACAGGUUCGCAGCAAAAUUCAGGGAACAAGUCAGGCAGAGCAGGCAGAAAAAAUGAGCAAGGAAAUCCCAUUGGCCACCGUCAAGACGCACAACAAGCCCAACGACCUCUGGCUGAUAAUCGACAACAAGGUCUACGAUGUGACCAAGUUCCUCCAUGAGCAUCCCGGUGGCGAGGAGACACUCAUUGACGUGGCCGGACGCGAUGGCACCAAGGCAUUCAACGACGUGGGCCACAGCUCCGAGGCGAGGCAAAUCCUGAAGAAAUAUUUCAUUGGCAACUUGGCCGCUGCCGAUAUCCCAAAGAAAGGACCAGUAAGCUGCUUCCCUUCGCCAAGCUUUAAGUCGUUCUCCAGCACGAAAGUCAAAUUCUUCAAAAGCUAAUCGGAUUUAUUGGCGAGGUGUUUGUGAGUUUGGCUUUCGCAUCCUGAAGGAUCUCUGCCGCCAGAUCGGAUUGGCCCUGGGAGCCGCCUUCUUGGGCAUCUCGCUGAUUUAUGUUAUUAGGCGCGGAUUGGCCAGGAACUAAGUAAAUCCACCCAACCAAGCGCCUUAUUCAGCUUCAUUCCGUGAUUCCAGAGUUAAUGACCCAGACGACCAUCUAGUUUACAAUCUUUGAUAAGAAAUAAAUUGUACAAAUCAACGAAGUCAUCUUCCGCAUUUUACUUCAAAUAGAAACAAUGUAAAAUAUUCAAAUAAAAUGAACUUGUUGCAAAA